GAGUUUUUGGCUCAGAUUGAACGCUGGCGGCAUGCCUUACACAUGCAAGUCGAACGGCAGCACGGGAGCUUGCUCCUGGUGGCGAGUGGGCGAACGGGUGAGUAAUGCAUCGGAACGUAUCCUGGAGUGGGGGAUAACGUAGCGAAAGUUACGCUAAUACCGCAUAUUCUGUGAGCAGGAAAGCGGGGGACCUUCGGGCCUCGCGCUCUUGGAGCGGCCGAUGUCGGAUUAGCUAGUUGGUGAGGUAAAGGCUCACCAAGGCGACGAUCCGUAGCAGGUCUGAGAGGAUGAUCUGCCACACUGGAACUGAGACACGGUCCAGACUCCUACGGGAGGCAGCAGUGGGGAAUUUUGGACAAUGGGGGCAACCCUGAUCCAGCCAUGCCGCGUGAGUGAAGAAGGCCUUCGGUU
rnacentral:rRNA from 1 species